GUAGGGUGCAAGCGUUAAUCGGAAUUACUGGGCGUAAAGGGCGUGUAGGCGGAGGUGCAAGUUGGGAGUGAAAUCUAUGGGCUUAACCCAUAAACUGCUCUCAAAACUGUGCCCCUUGAGUAUCGGAGAGGCAAGCGGAAUUCCUAGUGUAGCGGUGAAAUGCGUAGAUAUUAGGAGGAACACCAGUGGCGAAGGCGGCUUGCUGGACGACAACUGACGCUGAGGCGCGAAAGCGUGGGGAGC
rnacentral:rRNA from 1 species